rnacentral:rRNA from 1 species
UACGUAGGGUGCAAGCGUUAAUCGGAAUUACUGGGCGUAAAGCGUGCGCAGGCGGUUGUGUAAGACAGAUGUGAAAUCCCCGGGCUCAACCUGGGAACUGCAUUUGUGACUGCACAGCUGGAGUGCGGCAGAGGGGGGAUGGAAUUCCGCGUGUAGCAGUGAAAUGCGUAGAUAUGCGGAGGAACACCGAUGGCGAAGGCAAUCCCCUGGGCCUGCACUGACGCUCAUGCACGAAAGCGUGGGGAGCAAACAGG